rnacentral:snRNA from 1 species
UCGCUCAGGCCUCUCCUCAUAUAGACGCACUAAUAUUUCGCGUUUUACUGAAGAUUACCGUGGGGAGGGGCGUGCAAAUGAGCCUAUAGGCCAAUUUUACAGCGAAGCAGUAUACCUCUCGU